CGUAGCUCAAGAGCCACGCUGCAGCGAUUCAGGGAGACUGUUGGAAACGACGCGCUGGGGCUCCGUGUGAGCGGGGCGCCAGGGAUUUACAGAAAAGUAUUUUCUCCAAAAAAAGUUGCACCAAGCAGAAAAUUAACUCAACAUAAUGGCAAGGAAGUCUUUUGAAGAAAAAAUAGCAAAUGUCUUGGCAUACUUAAAGACAGGCAGAUAUCCUGAAGGAAUGAAUAAAGCUGGCAGACUGAACCUGCGUCGAUAUGCUGUCAACUUUUCAUUGGAAGGAAAGGAAUCCUUUUUUUUUUAAUACAGUACUGACACAUUUACAGGCUGAAGUUUCCUAUGUAAUGAUGGCCCUGAUGUCCCAACACUGGGAUUGUGUCGAGUGUUACUAUUAUCUUUCAUGGGCCUGGAAUUGGUAUCUCUACUUUUCUUUAAAUUAUCCAGAAAAUCAAUGUAUACCAGUGGUGCAACAAACGCAGU